ACGGGUGAGUAACACGUGGGAACGUACCCUUUACUACGGAACAACUCCGGGAAACUGGAGCUAAUACCGUAUGUGCCCUUCGGGGGAAAGAUUUAUCGGUAAAGGAUCGGCCCGCGUUGGAUUAGCUAGUUGGUGGGGUAAAGGCCUACCAAGGCGACGAUCCAUAGCUGGUCUGAGAGGAUGAUCAGCCACAUUGGGACUGAGACACGGCCCAAACUCCUACGGGAGGCAGCAGUGGGGAAUAUUGGACAAUGGGCGCAAGCCUGAUCCAGCCAUGCCGCGUGUGUGAUGAAGGCCUUAGGGUCGUAAAGCACUUUCACCGGAGAAGAUAAUGACGGUAUCCGGAGAAGAAGCCCCGGCUAACUUCGUGCCAGCAGCCGCGGUAAUACGAAGGGGGCUAGCGUUGUUCGGAAUUACUGGGCGUAAGGCGCACGUAGGCGGAUAUUUAAGUCAGGGGUGAAAUCCCAGAGCUCAACUCUGGAACUGCCUUUGAUACUGGGUAUCUUGAGUAUGGAAGAGGUAAGUGGAAUUGCGAGUGUAGAGGUG
rnacentral:rRNA from 1 species